UACGUAGGGUGCAAGCGUUAAUCGGAAUUACUGGGCGUAAAGGGCGCGUAGGCGGCCACCUAAGUCAGACGUGAAAUCCCUCGGCUCAACCGGGGAACUGCGUCUGAUACUGGGCGGCUUGAAUUCGGGAGAGGAAUGCGGAAUUCCAGGUGUAGCGGUGAAAUGCGUAGAUAUCUGGAGGAACACCGGUGGCGAAGGCGGCAUUCUGGACCGACAUUGACGCUGAGGCGCGAAAGCCAGGGGAGCAAACGGG
rnacentral:rRNA from 1 species